AGAGUUUGAUCAUGGCUCAGAGCGAACGCUGGCGGCAUGCUUAACACAUGCAAGUCGCACGGGCAGGGCAACCUGUCAGUGGCGGACGGGUGAGUAACGCGUAGGAAUCUAUCCUGGGAUGGGGGAUAACAGUGGGAAACUACUGCUAAUACCGCAUGAUACCUGAGGGUCAAAGGCGCAAGUCGUCUUGGGAGGAGCCUGCGUACGAUUAGCUAGUUGGUGGGGUAAAGGCCUACCAAGGCGACGAUCGUUAGCUGGUCUGAGAGGAUGAUCAGCCACACUGGGACUGAGACACGGCCCAGACUCCUACGGGAGGCAGCAGUGGGGAAUAUUGGACAAUGGGCGCAAGCCUGAUCCAGCAAUGCCGCGUGGGUGAAGAAGGUUUUCGGAUUGUAAAGCCCUUUUGGCGGGGACGAUGAUGACGGUACCCGCAGAAUAAGCUCCGGCUAACUUCGUGCCAGCAGCCGCGGUAAUACGAAGGGGGCUAGCGUUGCUCGGAAUGACUGGGCGUAAAGGGCGCGUAGGCUGAUGGCAUCGUCAGACGUGAAAUUCCUGGGCUUAACCUGGGGGCUGCGUUUGAUACAUGUCGUCUAGAGUGAGGAAGAGGGUUGUGGAAUUCCCAGUGUAGAGGUGAAAUUCGUAGAUAUUGGGAAGAACACCGGUGGCGAAGGCGGCAACCUGGUCCUUUACUGACGCUGAGGCGCGAAAGCGUGGGGAGCAAACAGGAUUAGAUACCCCGGUAGUCC
rnacentral:rRNA from 1 species